rnacentral:rRNA from 1 species
AUUGAACGCUGGCGGCAGGCUUAACACAUGCAAGUCGAGCGGAGAUGAGGUGCUUGCACCUUAUCUUAGCGGCGGACGGGUGAGUAAUGCUUAGGAAUCUGCCUAUUAGUGGGGGACAACAUUCCGAAAGGAAUGCUAAUACCGCAUACGCCCUACGGGGGAAAGCAGGGGAUCUUCGGACCUUGCGCUAAUAGAUGAGCCUAAGUCGGAUUAGCUAGUUGGUGGGGUAAAGGCCUACCAAGGCGACGAUCUGUAGCGGGUCCGAGAGGAUGAUCCGCCACACUGGGACUGGGACACGGCCCAGACUCCUACGGGAGGCAGCAGUGGGGAAUAUUGGACAAUGGGCGGAAGCCUGAUCCAGCCAUGCCGCGUGUGUGAAGAAGGCCUUUUGGUUGUAAAGCACUUUAAGCGAGGAGGAGGCUACCUGGAUUAAUACUCUAGGAUAGUGGACGUUACUCGCAGAAUAAGCACCGGCUAACUCUGUGCCAGCCGCCGCCGUAAAAC